UACGUAGGGUGCGAGCGUUAAUCGGAAUUACUGGGCGUAAAGCGUGCGCAGGCGGUUUUGUAAGCCAGAUGUGAAAUCCCCGGGCUUAACCUGGGAACUGCAUCUGUGACUGCAUCGCUGGAGUGCGGCAGAGGGGGAUGGAAUUCCGCGUGUAGCAGUGAAAUGCGUAGAUAUGCGGAGGAACACCGAUGGCGAAGGCAAUCCCCUGGGCCUGCACUGACGCUCAUGCACGAAAGCGUGGGGAGCAAACAGG
rnacentral:rRNA from 1 species